UUUCUAAUCAUCGGUGAUGAAUGAGGGAGGAAGCAUGUUUGAGUUUCCGGAACGUUCCUGGUUUGCUUUGAUCCAUCUUACUAGAUACAAGCUGCCUUGAAGAGUGAAGACUUUGAACGGCCUUGCAAAGCUAAUUCACCUGUCUCGCCGGGCCUCUUCGCUGGUUCUGUCCAAGCCGGGAGCACUCGUCCCAUAGUACUGUCUACAGGCCACGAUCCACUGCUUCUAACUGGUAGACAAUUAACAGCCCACACUCACUGUCUUCAGUUGCCUUGAGCAGUGGAUUUGGUGACUCUUAAACCUCUGUUGCCAGGGGAAGCAGAGGGAUCAGCUCUCCUGACAUUCUGGCCACAUUUCUACCAACUGCUCCACAGGCUUGUCCCAUGCACGCUUCUGUUUAAGGAGCUCUUAUUUUGUACAGUUGCUAACUCAAACCAAACUUCUCUAAAGUGCACACAUUUUCUGGAGGGUACAUCACAGUAUUCUUGCUCUAUGAGAAACUGGGUUGCCCGUUGGUGUUGUGUUUGGGGGCUGUUUUAAAUUAUAAAUAAAAAAGCACAAAGGAAAAAAAAAAGACACGAUGCUCACUCAAUAGGAGGUGCUUAUGUAUGACAUGAGAAAGCUAAGGUAGGCAUUGCUGGGAGCAUGGGCGUCUGAAGGGCAUCCAUACUCAGCUGCUGUGCCCCUGUCCUUGAACCUUGCAGGCAGCAUGGUCUUAGGUUAAGCCUGAGGGUGACUUGUACUCGGUCACUUAGUGUGGCCACUUCCACCUGCCUGUCUAUGUAGACAAACCUGAGUGUGUGUCGGGUCUCACUCAGUCCCAGCAGCUGACCUCCACCCACUGCUUGUGCCUGUCCAUCCAGAAACUUUCAUGUCCACAGACACCUCCUCUGUUUUGGGUCCUAGCGAUGCUGGUCUGACCACAUCUCUGCAGAGGUUCUGGUUCUGAGGGUCUGCCUGACCAGUCCUGGCACAAGGCUGUCAAGACCAGGAUCUUGAAGUCUGUUGCAGCUUGGACUUUGUAGUUUUGGAUCUACACAUACGUUUUAGAGAAUAGGUAGCUGUCUCAGACAGAAUCGAGGACCAGCUGACCCAGAUUUUUAAACUGGGGUCACAGUUCUACACUGGGUACAUAUGGGGGCCAUGAAAAAAAUGGGGAACAGUAAAGGGGUUCUGAAUAUGCACUGGGCAAAAAUGAAUUCAAAAGCAAGCACCUAAGGACUCUGAGGUGUUUUGGUGACUGCGUUGCCGUCUUGGUCCUAACUACGCAGCGUGGGCAUUCUGCACCAUGUCCUGUCAUUUGCCACAGCCAUGAAUGCAGCCUGAAACACCUCAGCUCAGACUGGAGACCACUGUGUGUUAUCAACUGUAGUGUUUUCCGGUACAUGCUGAGUUUUUUUUCUGGUAUAGAAAGCUAAUGCGUUCAUGUUGGAAGACAUACUGUUACAAUGUUCCUCCUGUUCCUCCUCAGCACCAAAGUAUCAGAUUAGUCCGUCUUGGGAUUGCAUUGGGCUAUGCUGUUUGAUUUUUAACAUUUAAUGUUUGAGUCACUGACUUGAACUUCAUAACACACACAUACACACACACACACACACACACACACACAGGCACACACACACACACCCAUUGGAUACAUUUUAGCUUUGGAUUGAGAGGGAAUUUCUAACAAUUUUUGAAAAGAUCCUGACUACACACCUGCUAUUUUGUGCUUUGUAUUUUGUAAAGUAGUGUUCUUAGCACUGAUGGUUAUAAAACUCAAAAUUUCAAUCAAUUGAAGAUACCCUGUCCUGCAGUAUCAAUUAUUCAGCCAUGGGUUUGCUCUUAAUGGAAACAACAAAGAAGCCUGCCCAUUUCAUCUGAAUGGAUUAGAACUUUACAUUUGUCUUUAAUAAUUGGUAACAUUGUAUGUACACUAAAGGACUGUUUUAAAAUAGAUUCCUUUGUAAUUUGU